UACGAAGGGGGCUAGCGUUGCUCGGAAUCACUGGGCGUAAAGCGCACGUAGGCGGAUUGUUAAGUCAGGGGUGAAAUCCUGGAGCUCAACUCCAGAACUGCCUUGAUACUGGCGAUCUCGAGUCCGGGAGAGGUGAGUGGAACUGCGAGUGUAGAGGUGAAAUUCGUAGAUAUUCGCAAGAACACCAGUGGCGAAGGCGGCUCACUGGCCGGUACUGACGCUGAGGUGCGAAAGCGUGGGAGCAACAGGGAGUUAAGAUA
rnacentral:rRNA from 1 species